GAUGAACGCUGGCGGUAUGCUUAACACAUGCAAGUCGAACGGACUCUUCGGAGUUAGUGGCGGACGGGUGAGUAACGCGUGAGAAUCUGGCUUUGGGUUCGGGACAACCACUGGAAACGGUGGCUAAUACCGGAUGUGCCGAGAGGUAAAAGAGAAAUUGCCUGAAGAUGAGCUCGCGUCUGAUUAGCUAGUUGGUGAGGUAAAGGCUCACCAAGGCAGCGAUCAGUAGCUGGUCUGAGAGGAUGACCAGCCACACUGGGACUGAGACACGGCCCAGACUCCUACGGGAGACAGCAGUGGGGAAUUUUCCGCAAUGGGCGAAAGCCUGACGGAGCAAUACCGCGUGAGGGAAGAAGGCUCUUGGGUUGUAAACCUCUUUUCUUAGGGAAGAACAAAAUGACGGUACCUAAGGAAUCAGCAUCGGCUAACUCCG
rnacentral:rRNA from 1 species